rnacentral:rRNA from 1 species
GGAUGCAAUCAUACCAGCACUAAAGCACCGGAUCCCAUCAGAACUCCGAAGUUAAGCGUGCUUGGGCGAGAGGAGUACUAGGAUGGGUGACCUCCUGGGAAGUCCUCGUGUUGCAUUCA